UCCAGAAUGAGUUGAGAUCUCCGUCAAGCACCGUUUCUGUAAACCACGCAACCCAUAUGGAUCCAGCUUCAAAGAAGAGCAGCCAGAUCAGCUUUAGUAUGCACGCCUUGUUCCAAAGGAACACACCGCAGAGCGAGUUAAUCCGUUUGAUGCAAGCUUUUGGUAAUACGAAAGAUGAACACCAGAAGUUGGUUAUUCCAGCAAUGACCGUCUUAAUGAGCUGCAGGCGUCCAGCAAAAUAUAAGGCUCUUACACUCCAAGAGUUGAAUUUUCCUUUCACUUGCUGGAUUAAAACUUCACAGUUCAGUGAUGUAAGCUUUUUCGUGCAGAGAGGAACGCCCAGGUACCGAACCGGUAGUGAACCUUGCGGCAUUCCAGUAGUGAAUUGGAUAAGGUCGCGUUCUGCAUCAGUCAGGCCCGAAGAGAAGAACGAAGACUUCUGGACACUCACAGCGAGACCCGAGCGAAGCUCAAAUUCCUUGAGUACCUGAAGUACAGCUUGGAGAGACUGGAGGGAGCCGUCCAAGAAGAUCAGAAGAUCAUCGGCGAAGCAAAGAUGAGUCAUCUUGGCAGAGUCACAGCGCAUAUGAUAUUUGAACUUCAGUUCUCUUGCAGCCUGGUUAAGCAUGAGUGAUAGGUUGUUGAGAGCAAUAACAAACAAAUAGGGGGAUAAGGGAUCCCCUUGGCGCAGUCCCCUUCUACCCUUGAAGAAACCGUGUACGGCUCCAUUAUAGCCCAGUGAAAAACUCGUAGUACAGACACAUUCUCUCAGCCAUCCAAUGACCUUCUCAGCUCAGAAGCCAAGACCGUGUUCUCAACUAGCAACCUCCCUUUCACAAAAGCAGUUUGGUUAGGGAUAAUGAGCGAAGAUAGGAUUGGUUUCAGUCUCUUAACCAGGAGCCUAGAGAUAGUUUUGUAGACAGUGUUUAGGCAGAAGAUAGGUCGGAACUCAGUGAUAAGAGAAGCACCAGGCCUCUUUGGCACCAGUGUUAGGAUUGUCGCAUUAGCUGCAGUCGGCAGAUAUGAUGAAGUGAAGAACUGUAUGAUCGAUGCAACAACCUCAGAGCCUACAAUGUCCCAUGCCGCUUUAUAAAAUCCCGACGUUAACCCAUCGGGGCCUGGAGCCUUGUUUGGGUUAAGUCUCAGUAAUACUCUAGAGAUCUCUUCACCUGAAGGUAGGAGGAGCAUAGUUUGGGCUUCUUGGAACGAUAUCACGUAGAGGUUAAGGGACUGGAACCAUGUUGGAGGAGAAUGAAGUGGUGAUGGAGGUAGCAGUAGAGGGCCAAGAAUAGACUGAAAGUGGUGAAUGGCAUGGGAUGACAUUUGCAGAGGAUCUAGUAUCACUUCGCCCGAUGGGAGAUGGAAUGAUCUGAUGGCGUUAAAAUUCAUUCUAAUUUGGACCACUCUAAAGAAGAAUUGCCACCUCUGAAGCAGUUCUUUCUCCUGUUCAAACAGCAUUGUGGAAGGCGAGUUGAGGGAUUGUACCUGCACAGCUUGUAACAAACAGUUAGCUU